rnacentral:rRNA from 1 species
UACGGGGGGGGCAAGCGUUGUUCGGAAUUACUGGGCGUAAAGGGCUCGUAGGCGGCCUACUAAGUCAGACGUGAAAUCCCUCGGCUUAACCGGGGAACUGCGUCUGAUACUGGAUGGCUGGAGGUUGGGAGAGGGAUGCGGAAUUCCAGGUGUAGCGGUGAAAUGCGUAGAUAUCUGGAGGAACACCGGUGGCGAAGGCGGCAUCCUGGACCAAUUCUGACGCUGAGGAGCGAAAGCCAGGGGAGCAAACGGG